GGCUUGUUAGCUCAGUUGGUAGAGCACUGCACCAUUAUAGCAGAGGUCAUGGGUUCAAAUCCUGUACGGGCCU
rnacentral:tRNA from 1 species